rnacentral:rRNA from 1 species
GAUGAACGCUAGCGGCAGGCUUAAUACAUGCAAGUCGAGGGGCAACAGGUCUGUAGCAAUACAGUUGCUGGCGACCGGCAUACGGGUGCGGAACACGUACGCAACCUUCCUUCAAAUGGGGGAUAGCCCACCGAAAGGUGGAUUAAUACCCCGUAACAUUUUCUGGUGGCAUCACUGGAUUAUUAUAGCUCCGGCGUUUG